rnacentral:lncRNA from 1 species
GAUUCAAUUCCAGCAGGGUUUCAGGCGCUUUCAGGUUGAUUAUUCAAUGAAGCAAGCAUCCUAUUUUUAGAUGAAAUGCAAAGGAGAGUGGAUGGAACUCGUGUGCAUGAGAAUUGGGUCCUCCAUGCAUGGGCCUGUACAGGCGCAUGUGAGGACCAAAAGCUAAUGCGAAUGAAUGCUGAAAUGAUUUGGAGAAGGUUUGGACAUAUGGUUU